GACGAACGCUGGCGGCGUGCUUAACACAUGCAAGUCGAACGGUGAAGCGCCUUCCUUUUUGGUGGGUGUGGAUGAGUGGCGAACGGGUGAGUAACACGUGAGUAACCUGCCCCCUUCUUCUGGAUAACCGCAUGAAAGUGUGGCUAAUACGGGAUAUUCUGGGUCUGUCGCAUGAUGGGUCUGGGAAAGAUAUUGUUUCGGUGGGGGAUGGGCUCGCGGCCUAUCAGCUUGUUGGUGGGGUGAUGGCCUACCAAGGCGGUGACGGGUAGCCGGCCUGAGAGGGUGGACGGCCACACUGGGACUGAGCCCCCGCCCAGACUCCUACGGGAGGCAGCAGUGGGGAAUAUUGCACAGUGGGCGCAAGCCUGAUGCAGCGACGCCGCGUGAGGGAUGGAGGCCUUCGGGUUGUGAACCUCUUUCGCCAGUGAAGCAGGCCUGCCUCGUUUGUGGGUGGGUUGACGGUAGCUGGAUAAGAAGCGCCGGCUAACUACGUG
rnacentral:rRNA from 1 species